CGUCUCUUUCAGGAACGGCUCGUGACAGGACAAUGGCCGGAGUCCCUGGCGAGCGCUGCUGCUUGUGAGGACCGUCUACCGUGACCACAGGUGCAGCCCGGACGACGAGGCGCGCGAGCCCAGGUACCGUGUGGUGGUGGCAGCAGCUACUUAGAAGCCUGCAGUUGACGAAACCCACACCCUUAGCACCUCUCGCGGUAAGUGUUUUGAAUCUGUAAAUCGUCGAAAAAAUCUCUGCUUCGAUUUAAUUUCAUCAUUUGUUUUUAGACUGUUUUCUUUAAUGUGUCGUAGGGUUCAGAUUAAUUGUAGUUUUUUCGCGGUUGCUCAGCGGGAGAGCUUUGCAAUUUGGUGAAAUACAGGUGCAAAGACACGCGCUCAUCCUUGCGUAUUUGCAAAGAAGUCUUGAUCAGGUCAGAUGUGUGGGUGUGAAGGGAUGCAUUUCUAGCUGUUAGUUUUGAAGGAGUCAGCGAAAGGCAUAUAUUUUUGGUUUCGGUAUGUGUGUAUGUGUGUGUGUGUGUGUGUGUGUGUGUGUGUGUGUGUGUGUGUGUGUGUGUGUGUGUGUGUGUGUGUGUGUGUGUGUGUGUGUGUGUCUGUGUGUGUGUGUGUGCGUGUGUGCGCGUUCAGACAGACAUGCGCCCAGGCAGACAGAGAGAGAGUUGUAUGCUUAUAUGCGUCAGCACCGCAGUACAGGUUAUCGCCACCUCGACGACCGGUAAGCAAG